CACCCCUCCUUUCCCAGGUUUCUGUUCUGAUAUCACCCUCUCAGUGGGGACUUCUGUGACCCACCUCCCAUUUAACACUCCAGCCGCACCCUCACUCCCUCCUCUGGUCCAUAUCACCUGCUCUGCAUGCUUCUCUCGAAUCUUUCUGCUUCCACUGUCUGGAUCCUGAUGAACCCAAAGUCCCAAGGGGAGAACAGAGUCAGAAGGUGGGCGCUAUGCUGGGCUGACCCUGUUUGAGUAGAGCUUACCCCUGGCUUCAUGUGGAAGUGCUGAGGUACUUUGCAGAUACACUUGUUGUGCCCGCACCCGUGUCCCAGAGAUUCCCAUUCACAUAGGUGGGGACUCGCCCUUGAUGAUACAGUGCCCAGCAUGAUUCUCAUCUAUAUCCAGCCCUGAGCACCAAGGCUCUGCGUCCUCUAUUUCUGAGGGCUGAGCUCAGCCUGGGAGCCACAGAGAGGGAAAGGGGGCUGGGCUCUGCAUGGCGGUUGAUCAGGGCUGGGUCUGCUCCCCACUGCUGCAGCGUGUGUGCGAGCUUCUCCAGGAGGGGAGAGGGUUCUGAAGAAAGGGGUCAGAAGACUCAUGUAUGGGUUUUCUUGUAGGAGUUUCUUGUCCCUGGGGCCACCCUGGUGCAGUGGGCAGCAGAGGACCAUCUUUCUCCCGGGAUUGAUUUCCAAAGAGUCAUGUUACUUGGCUUGGUGGAAGCCACCAAGAAGAGCAUAAGAAAG